CCUACGGGCGGCAGCAGUGGGGAAUCUUGCGCAAUGGGCGAAAGCCUGACGCAGCCAUGCCGCGUGAAUGAUGAAGGUCUUAGGAUUGUAAAGUUCUUUCGCCCGUGACGAUGAUGACGGUAACGGGAGAAGAAGCCCCGGCUAACUUCGUGCCAGCAGCCGCGGUAAUACGAAGGGGGCUAGCGUUGUUCGGAAUUACUGGGCGUAAAGCGCGCGUAGGCGGUUUUGCAAGCCAGAGGUGAAAUGCCCGGGCUCAACUUGGGAAUUGCCUUUGGGACUGCGAGGCUUUGAGGACGAGAGAGGUGAGUGGAAUUCCCAGUGUAGAGGUGAAAUUCGUAGAUAUUGGGAAGAACACCGGUGGCGAAGGCGGCUCACUGGCUCGUUUCUGACGCUAAAGCGCGAAAGCGUGGGGAUCAAACAGGAUUAGAUACCCUAGUAGUC
rnacentral:rRNA from 1 species